AUUAGAUACCCGCGUAGUCCCAGCCGUAAACUAUGCGCGUUAGGUGUAUCGGUGACCACGAGUUACCGAGGUGCCGAAGGGAACCGUGAAACGUGCCGCCUGGGAAGUACGGUCGCAAGGCUGAAACUUAAAGGAAUUGGCGGGGAGCACCACAACAGGUGGAGCCUGCGGUUUAAUUGGACUCAACGCCGGGAAGCUCACCGGAUAAGACAGCGGAAUGAUUGCCGGGCUGAAGACUCUGCAUGACUAGCUG
rnacentral:rRNA from 1 species